GAUGAACGCUGGCGGCGUGCCUAACACAUGCAAGUCGAACGGGGUUAAGUGAAAUUUUCGGAUGGAGCUUAACUUAGUGGCGGACGGGUGAGUAACGCGUGGAUAACCUGCCUCACACUGGGGGAUAGCAGCUGGAAACGGCUGGUAAUACCGCAUAAGACCACGGCACCGCAUGGUGCAGGGGUAAAAGAUUUAUCGGUGUGAGAUGGAUCCGCGUCUGAUUAGCCAGUUGGCGGGGUAACGGCCCACCAAAGCGACGAUCAGUAGCCGGCCUGAGAGGGUGAACGGCCACAUUGGGACUGAGACACGGCCCAAACUCCUACGGGAGGCAGCAGUGGGGAAUAUUGCACAAUGGGCGCAAGCCUGAUGCAGCAACGCCGCGUGAGUGAAGAAGUAUUCGGUAUGUAAAGCUCUAUCGGCAGGGAAGAAAGGCCCGAAAGGGAGAUGACGGUACCUGACUAAGAAGCCCGGCUAACUACGUGCCAGCAGCCGCGGUAAAACGU
rnacentral:rRNA from 1 species